GAUGAACGCUGGCGGCGUGCCUAAUACAUGCAAGUCGAGCGAACGGACGAGAAGCUUGCUCCUCUGAUGUUAGCGGCGGACGGGUGAGUAACACGUGGAUAACCUACCUAUAAGACUGGGAUAACUUCGGGAAACCGGAGCUAAUACCGGAUAAUAUUUUGAACCGCAUGGUUCAAAAGUGAAAGACGGUCUUGCUGUCACUUAUAGAUGGAUCCGCGCUGCAUUAGCUAGUUGGUAAGGUAACGGCUUACCAAGGCAACGAUGCAUAGCCGACCUGAGAGGGUGAUCGGCCACACUGGAACUGAGACACGGUCCAGACUCCUACGGGAGGCAGCAGUAGGGAAUCUUCCGCAAUGGGCGCAAGCCUGACGGAGCAACGCCGCGUGAGUGAUGAAGGUCUUCGGAUCGUAAAGCUCUGUUAUUAGGGAAGAACAUAUGUGUAAGUAACUGUGCACAUCUUGACGGUACCUAAUCAGAAAGCCACGGCUAACUACGUG
rnacentral:rRNA from 1 species